UUCCGGUAGGUGACCUGCGGAGGAUCAUUA
rnacentral:rRNA from 1 species